rnacentral:rRNA from 1 species
AGAGUUUGAUCAUGGCUCAGGAUGAACGCUAGCGGCAGGCUUAACACAUGCAAGUCGAGGGGUAUAGUAGCAAUACUAGAGACCGGCGCACGGGUGCGUAACGCGUAUGCAAUCUACCUUUCACAGAGGGAUAGCCCAGAGAAAUUUGGAUUAAUACCUCAUAGUAUAUAUGAAUGGCAUCAUUUAUAUAUUAAAGUCACAACGGUGAAAGAUGAGCAUGCGUCCCAUUAGCUAGUUGGUAAGGUAACGGCUUACCGAGGCGACGAUGGGUAGGGGUCCUGAGAGGGAGAUCCCCCACACUGGUACUGAGACACGGACCAGACUCCUACGGGAGGCAGCAGUGAGGAAUAUUGGACAAUGGGCGCAAGCCUGAUCCAGCCCAUGCCGCGUGCAGGAUGACGGUCCUAUGGGAUUGUAAACUGCUUUUGCACAGGAAGAAACACCCCGACGUGUCGGGACUUGACGGUACUGUGAGAAUAAGGAUCGGCUAACUCCGUGCCAGCAGCCGCGGUAAUACGGAGGAUCCAAGCGUUAUCCGGAAUCCUUGGGUUUAAAGGGUCC